CAAAAGGCUUCUAUUGAAGCCACAGAUAUUUGGCUAACCUGGGCUA
rfam:Gallus gallus isolate RJF #256 breed Red Jungle fowl, inbred line TCD001 chromosome 11, whole genome shotgun sequence.